ACAAGAAUUCUAAUUGGUCACAUUGAAGUAAUUGAAGUUCUAUUUCUUCAUGUUUUCAUCACUAUGUGAUCAUUGUUUUGUUUUGGUUUUUACAGGAAUCUGUGCAAUACCACAGGCAUUGGAGACACAGUACCGGAAACAAGCUUGAAGAAUUUCCAACCCAUUGCUAACUUACUCUUCAAGUGAAUGUGUGUAGUGAGCCCAGCAGUACGUUUCAGCCCCAAUGUCUUCUGUCCCCUAGUGGAACUGGAAACAUCAGCUUUGUAUUAAGACAUGUUACAUGGUCUACAAAACUGACUUGGAACGAGGCAACAUCACUUGGGAUUCUGUUUUGGGAACAAAAGUGAGAAGGUCAAAAGAAAAAGCUAGACUCUGGCAGAUCUACAAAGAAAGUUGACUGAGGGGAGUUACAGUCCAGGACAGCACAGGAUAUCAGGAUAUCAUCAACUACCAGAUUCAGAAGGAGAAAAUUCUUGGUGUUGGACCUCAGUAAGACAAAGUCCCUCUCAUGAUAUAUCUAUGCUGCUUUAAGCAAGGUUUGGUAUUUUUUGCAUGAGUAUAAGGCAGGACAAGGUAACACAGAUUGACGCUGCCAUUCAAAGAGAAGAGACUAAUAAUAUUUAUGUGAAAGUGGGAUGGGUUGAUUACAAUGGAAAAGUAUGACUAGUCAGAUGCCCAUUAAUAUUAUCUCCUAAAUAUUAAAUAUGGGGAGGCCUUCCAAGGGGUGUGCAGUGUUACACAAUGCUCCUGUUGCACACCCUGCACCUUGUUCAUGUCCUCUGAGGCUACUGGCAUCUGAGGUAUAGAAGAAUAUGAAGCUAAGAAAAAUACGACCAGAAUUUAAUCACUAAAACAAUCAGCUUCACCUUUGGUCAUGGCCUAGGACUACUCGCUUGAGUUUGUUCCGCUAUUUUGUAAAGUUUUCCCUGUGUCACUUGGGAGCAUUGAAGAGAACA
rnacentral:lncRNA from 1 species